GAGGUUUUUAAGAGUUCCUUGAUACUCUAAGGUACUAACUUACCCGUAAAAGUUAGAGGUUCUUAAGAGUGCCCUUGAUACUCUAAGGUGUGAGUCUACCCGUAAAAGACUGGUUCCUAAGCGAAGUAGCCUUAAAGCUUAGAGAGGUUUUUAAGAGUUCCUUGAUACUCUAAGGUACUAACUUACUCGUAAAAGUUAGAGGUUCUUAAGAGUGUCCUUGAUACUCUAAGGUGUGAGUCUACCCGUAAAAGACUGGUUCCUAAGCGAAGUAGCCUUAAAGCUUAGAGAGGUUCUUAAGAGUUUCCUUGAUACUCUAAGGUUUUGCCAUUACCUUUAGGCGAGUGAAUUCCGGCAGUUGGUCGGGACUGGACUAGCCCUUGUUUGGGUGAACCAGUAUAAAUCUUUUGUGUUGUUCUCUGUUAAUUAUAGUUUUAUCUUUUAUCUAAAAACAACACUUAAUUAAAAAUAUCCCUCUUCCAGUUAUCUGGUCAAAUACAGAGGUUGACUACUUUACGCAGAUCCCUCAUCCAGUUAUCUGGUCAACCAUCUGAGGUUAUAUUCAUUGCUUUAUUCAUAUUUGUUCAAGCAUUUACUUAUCAUAUAUAUAUCCAGUUAUCUGGUCAUCUACUUGUUUAUCAAUAUAUCCAGUUAUCUGGUCAUUUACUUGCUUAUCAUAUAUCCAGUUAUCUGGUCAUUUACUUUAUAAUAUAACUUGUGUUUAUAAUAUAACUUAGUAUUCAUAUACUAUAGUUGUUUAUAAAACACCAUCUGAAAAGUUGACUACGUAUUCAUAUACUGUAGUAAACUUAAGGAGCAAAAGGCAAGUCCAAUAUAUAAUAUUAUAAGAUAUAAUAUUAUAUUCUUUAAAAUUAUAUAAUAGUAUUAUAUUGCUAACAAUAUUAUACUAUUAUUAUUAUACAACCAUUUGUGUACUUAAGUGUGUGCAGGUAAUUCCGCUAUUAACUUGCAUUAAUCGAAAAGAGGCUAUUAUCCUCCCUUAUAGCCUCGGAUCUCGAUCCAAC
rnacentral:lncRNA from 1 species